UACGUAGGGAGCAAGCGUUAUCCGGAUUUACUGGGUGUAAAGGGCGCGCAGGCGGGCCGGCAAGUUGGAAGUGAAAUCUAUGGGCUUAACCCAUAAACUGCUUUCAAAACUGCUGGUCUUGAGUGAUGGAGAGGCAGGCGGAAUUCCGUGUGUAGCGGUGAAAUGCGUAGAUAUACGGAGGAACACCAGUGGCGAAGGCGGCCUGCUGGAUAUUAACUGACGCUGAGGCGCGAAAGCGUGGGGAGCAAACAGG
rnacentral:rRNA from 1 species